rnacentral:rRNA from 1 species
UGGGGAAUAUUGCACAAUGGGCGAAAGCCUGAUGCAGCAACGCCGCGUGAGUGAUGAAGGCCUUCGGGUUGUAAAGCUCUGUCUUUUGGGACGAUAAUGACGGUACCAAAGGAGGAAGCCACGGCUAACUACGUGCCAGCAGCCGCGGUAAUACGUAGGUGGCAAGCGUUGUCCGGAUUUACUGGGCGUAAAGGAUGCGUAGGCGGAUUUUUAAGUGAGAUGUGAAAACCCUAAGCUUAACUUGGGGACUGCAUUUCAUACUGGAAAUCUAGAGUGCGGGAGAGGAGAAUGGAAUUCUUAGUGUAGCGGUGAAAUGCGUAGAGAUUAGGAAGAACACCAGUGGCGAAGGCGAUUCUCUGGACCGUAACUGACGCUGAGGCAUGAAAGCGUGGGUAGCAAACAGGAUUAGAUACCCUGGUAGUCCACGCCGUAAACGAUGAGUACUAGGUGUAGGAGGUAUCGACCCCUUCUGUGCCGCAGUUAACACAAUAAGUACUCCGCCUGGGAAGUACGAUCGCAAGAUUAAAACUCAAAUGAAUUGACGGGGUCAUAGCUG